UGAACAUGUGUCUAUAUGUACGUAUAUACAUAUACAAAUAUAUAUACAUAUGUAUACACUAGCCGGUGUACCUGGUAAUUCCCGGGGGUAAAGAUGCUCCAUUGAAAUGCCUUAUUACUCUGAUAUAAGAAAGCAAUUUCGUUAUAACUGCCACAAAAGGUGUAUUUUCCAUCACAAAAAUAUACAAAAACUGUCA